GACGAACGCUGGCGGCGUGCUUAACACAUGCAAGUCGAACGGUGAAGCGCCUUCCUUUUUGGUGGGUGUGGAUGAGUGGCGAACGGGUGAGUAACACGUGAGUAACCUGCCCCCUUCUUCUGGAUAACCGCAUGAAAGUGUGGCUAAUACGGGAUAUUCUGGGUCUGUCGCAUGAUGGGUCUGGGAAAGAUAUUGUUUCGGUGGGGGAUGGGCUCGCGGCCUAUCAGCUUGUUGGUGGGGUGAUGGCCUACCAAGGCGGUGACGGGUAGCCGGCCUGAGAGGGUGGACGGUCACAAUGGGGCUGAGACACGGCCCAGACUCCUACGGGAGGCAGCAGUGGGGAAUAGUGCACAAUGGGCGAAAGCCUGAUGCAGCGACGCCGCGUGAGGGAUGGAGGCCUUCGGGUUGUGAACCUCUUUCGCCAGUGAAGCAGGCCUGCCUCGUUUGUGGGUGGGUUGACGGUAGCUGGAUAAGAAGCGCCGGCUAACUACGUG
rnacentral:rRNA from 1 species